rfam:Myotis lucifugus cont2.70944, whole genome shotgun sequence.
CCUAAGGCUUUUCCGAAAGCCACCUCACUAUUAUAACAAAAGAAACU